rnacentral:piRNA from 1 species
UAACAGAUGUCACUGGGGUCCAUUUGAAAU